UACGUAGGGGGCAAGCGUUGUCCGGAAUCAUUGGGCGUAAAGAGCGUGUAGGCGGUUCGGUAAGUCGGCUGUGAAAGUCCAGGGCUCAACCCUGGGAUGCCGGUCGAUACUGCCGGACUAGAGUUCGGAAGAGGCGAGUGGAAUUCCCGGUGUAGCGGUGAAAUGCGCAGAUAUCGGGAGGAACACCGGUGGCGAAGGCGGAUCUCUGGGCCUGUCCUGACGCUGAGGCGCGAAAGCUAGGGGAGCGAACAGG
rnacentral:rRNA from 1 species